rnacentral:rRNA from 1 species
UCCUACGGGAGGCAGCAGUAGGGAAUAUUGGACAAUGGGCGCAAGCCUGAUCCAGCAAUGCCGCGUGUGUGAAGAAGGCCUGCGGGUUGUAAAGCACUUUCAGUGGGGAAGACAAACUCGAGGUUAAUACCCUCGGGUCUCGACGUUACCCACAGAAGAAGCACCGGCCAACUCCGUGCCAGCAGCCGCGGUAAUACGGAGGGUGCGAGCGUUAAUCGGAAUUACUGGGCGUAAAGCGCACGCAGGCGGCUGGGUCAGUCGGUUGUGAAAUCCCCGGGCUUAACCUGGGAAUUGCGAUCGAAACUGCCCGGCUAGAGUAUGGGAGAGGGAAGUGGAAUUCCCGGUGUAGCGGUGAAAUGCAUAGAUAUCGGGAGGAACACCAGUGGCGAAGGCGGCUUCCUGGCCCAAUACUGACACUCAGGUGCGAAAGCGUGGGGAGCAAACAGGAUUAGAUACCCUGGUAGUCCACGCCGUAAACGAUGAGAACUAGAUGUCGGGGGGGAUUGGCCCCUCGGUGUCGCAGCUAACGCAUUAAGUUCUCCGCCUGGGGAGUACGCCGGCAACGGUAAAACUCAAAGGAAUUGACGGGGA